AGCGAACGCUGGCGGCAGGCCUAACACAUGCAAGUCGAACGAAGCCUUCGGGCUUAGUGGCGGACGGGUGAGUAACACGUGGGAACGUACCUUUGGGUUCGGAAUAACGCAGAGAAAUUUGCGCUAAUACCGGAUGAGCCCUUCGGGGGAAAGAUUUAUCGCCGAAAGAUCGGCCCGCGUUGGAUUAGGUAGUCGGUGUGGUAAAGGCGCACCAAGCCUACGAUCCAUAGCUGGUCUGAGAGGAUGAUCAGCCACACUGGGACUGAGACACGGCCCAGACUCCUACGGGAGGCAGCAGUGGGGAAUCUUGCGCAAUGGGCGAAAGCCUGACGCAGCCAUGCCGCGUGAAUGAUGAAGGUCUUAGGAUUGUAAAAUUCUUUUACCAGGGACGAUAAUGACGGUACCUGGAGAAAAAGCCCCGGCUAACUUCGUGCCAGCCGCCGCGGUAAGAC
rnacentral:rRNA from 1 species